UGCCCCUCACUUGCCAAUACGUCUAGAUCAGCCAGGGCGUCGGCAUGUGUAGCGUAUUAUGUUGGGCUCUCUCGAGAUAAGGAUACGAUGUCCCUUUAUCGGUUGGUUUCCUGUGUGUGCGGCCCGUUCGUUUUUUUGUUACUUUCGCAUCGUUCGGUGCAUUCUGGGGGCUGUGUUGGCUUUUGGUGGCUUGCUUGGCCUUUUGGCUUUGCUUGUUGCUACUUGUCAGGCUGCUUUCGGGAAUGUCGACCGUGGAGGUGCAUGAGUGGUGUUUGGUUUGUUACGUGUGGAUGGCUGUUUGCUUGUGCAACAACGUUCACGCUGCAUACCUCUUCAGUUUUGCGGCAAGGCUUGGUUUGGCUUGUGCAUAUUGUGGGUUUCCUGUGUUGCAUACCUAGUUGAUGGAAAAGUGUGGGUUUUACGAUUUUCAUUUUCGUCUUGCGUCGUUCUUUUGGCGUGGGAUGAACAAUGAAGCGAUCUUUAUGAUCCAUCGUGCUGUUGCGUUUGCAACAAUGAUGUGGCCUAUGAAGCAUCGUUUGGUCUCUUGUAUACGGAAGCUCAUUUGGGCUUGGGUCUUUAUAAGAUCUUCGUUACGCCCUUGUUAAGCGUUCUCGCUUCUCCUAAACGAUUG
rnacentral:misc_RNA from 1 species